rnacentral:sRNA from 1 species
GACACUCCCGAGCGCCGUAAAUAGAGUCCAAGUGGGCGGAGAGCCGUCCCGCGCCUCCCGCUCAUGUCUCUGCAGAGCCGACUGUCCGGCCGCCUGGCACAGCUGCGCGCGGCGGGGCAGCUGCUGGUCCCCCCGCUCCCCCGCCACUUGGCGGGUGCCACGAGGACCCGCAGCAGCACGUGCGGUCCCCCGGCGUUCCUGGGCGUGUUCGGCCGCCGCGCGCAGACCUCGGCGGGAGUUGGGGCGUGGGGGGCGGCGGCGGUGGGGCGGACAGCCGGGGUGCGCACUUGGGCCCCCCUGGCCAUGGCGGCGAAGGUGGACCUGAGCACCUCCACCGACUGGAAGGAGGCGAAAUCCUUUCUGAAGGGCCUGAGUGACAAGCAGCGGGAGGAACAUUACUUCUGCAAGGACUUUGUCAGGCUGAAGAAGAUCCCGACAUGGAAGGAGAUGGCGAAAGGGGUGGCUGUGAAGGUGGAGGAGCCCAGGUAUAAAAAGGACAAGCAGCUCAAUGAGAAAAUCUCCCUGAUCCGCAGCGACAUCACCAAGCUGGAGGUGGACGCCAUCGUCAACGCUGACUCUCACAGCCAGAAGGACCUGGUACCCGCCUGGAAUCCCAGGGAAUGACGGAGGCAGGGUCUGAACACGGGCUUCCCACACAGAGCCCGAGUCUCCUUUCAGCCGUCCAGGGCUUUGUGGCACCCCAGCGUUCAAAGUGGCUUUGGCACUGGUCAGGCCUCCAGGGUCCUGGAUGGCCUUGGCUCCCACCCCAGCCCCUUUGCCCACCAGGGGGCAGCAGAGAUUGCAGUUCCCAGGAGCCCAUAAAUCAGCCUGUUUAUUAGUGGAAUAAAAGUCGUCGGCAACG